rnacentral:lncRNA from 1 species
UUCCAUCAAACUACUAAAAAUAUUGUGGUUUUCAUAGCCAAAUCAGAUGGCAACCAUAAUUUUUUUGGUGUAAGUAGUUCGUGAUAUUGAAACUAGUUGAUUUCCAUCAAACUACAUAUUUUUUAUAUUGUCUUCAAAUAUCGUAGUUAAUAAUUGAUAUUGGUUUUGGAGUUUUUGUUUUAAUGCUUUUUAGGAUAUAUUAUGCAACAUGGUAUUUUUUUGUUUCUUUUUGUAUUAUGGUAUUUUAUCUGUAGUUUUUGUUUCAUUAUUUGUGAAAUUGAUUUUAUGUAUUCCAAUAUUUAUCUUAUGUAUUUGUGAUAGGUAUUGGGGUAAAGACUGAUGCUUUUUUUUAUUUAACCAGAUGCGUUAGAAAGAAAAACUUGUCUAAUACAUUACAUACAUUCCCGACUACCAGUUUGGAUUAAUAGCAAAAAAAAAAAAAACAGGUGGCUCUGGUUUAUUUGAGCAUGAUUAGUUAUAGAUCUAAUGGUUCUAUCAUAAGCAGUUCCUAAAUGUGUGCCUCCAAGGCUUGACAGAUAUACACCAGAGGAACUAUCAAAACUUGUGUUUCUUCAAAAAGGUCAGAUGUUGCUCCUUGUUUCACCAGUACAUCCUCCACCUUUUUCUACUCUAUGAAGUUAUGCUUCACCAUCGGGCAUCCCAUCCUUCUUAGCUUGUACCUGCAAUCAUCAAUGAUACCAUUAUAGAGAGGAUUCCCUUCUUUCAGCAUUUUAAUAGUAUCCAAGGAGUCUAUAUUAAUAUCAACGGGCAGGUAGUAGUUUUGUUCGCAUAUUCUCAACCCUUUCGUAAGAGCUAGGAGCUCUAUUUGGUUGUUAGUUGCAUGAAGGAAACUUUUAUUGAACCCUAGGAUCCACUCUCCACUCUAAUUCCUGAUUACACCACCAAUUCUACCCCUCCCAGGAUUGCCCAAACACGGUUCAUCAGUAUUCAGCUUGAAAGGGUUUCCCUCAGGAAGAUUCCAUUUGAUGUUGAUGAUGGUCAUAAGGGUUCUAACAGUACUAUUAGUAGAGAUGUGGAUAAAGUCUACUGCCUCAGAGUAGGCUUGGGAGCACUUUUCACUUUGAGUGUCAUUGUUUAAGACUGUGGUUUCUAUUUCUCCAAAUCAUCCAAAGGCAGUAGGGUAGAAUCUCAUCCUACAACAAGAGAUUAUCAAAGGCUUUCCUCUUAGUCUUACCCCAUGUAGCACUCUAAUUUGAAGGGUAGAAGUCAGUUAAGGAGAACAUAGGGGGCUUAGGGUCCAUGUACAGAAGGUCCUUCUAAAAGUGUUGAGAGUUGGUGCAUUCAAAGAAGGAAUGUUGGUAUCUUCUACAUGGUGGUUGUAGAUUUGGAAAUUUGGGUUGAUAGGGAGCCCCAUUUUGGAGAGGUUAUAGUUUGAGGGGAGUCUAUCAUGGUGGAGAAACCAAAGUAAAGUUUUGAUUUUGUUGGGAGUUUUUAACUUUCAAAUCCAAUUGAACUGAUGAUUAUUUCUAUCCGUUCCUUUUCACUCUUUACUAGCAAGGAAUUUAUAGGCAGAGUUGCAAAAGAACUAGCCAUUUUCUUUAAGUUCCAAACAGGGGUAUCUUACAGGAUUCUAGAGUGAGGAAAAGAGAACACAUGAUGUGGAGUUUAAGAUGCUGAGGGAUGUCUAUAGAAAGUCCCUCAAAAUUCCAGGAAUUAUUAUGCCAGAUUUCAAAAAGGGUCAAGGAGUCUUUUGCAUGAGUUAGGGGGCCCUUGCUGACACUUCAUAAAGAAGUUUAGUGGGGAAUCCACUUGUCAGUCCAAAACGUAACCUUAUUGCCCUGUAAGACACUCCAGGUACAAGCUUCUUUGCAGUUUUGCCAACCCUUCAUGAGGUCUUCCCAAGUUCUGGAGGCAUUUGGGUGGUUCCUCAUCCCCUCAUUACUAUAGUUAGGUGUAAAGAAUUGUACCCACAGCUUGGAAGGGUUUUUUAUAAAUCUCUAUGCCAAGCUCAUAAUGAGGAGAUUAUUUUUAGACUAGCCUUUAGGAUGCCUAAACCCCCUCAUCUUUUGGGAGGGAACAUUAGUCCAAGAUACAAGAUGUAUAUUUUUUUUAAUUAGUGGUGCCCCAAGUAAAAUUUCUUUGGAUUCUGUCAAUGUACUUUUGGAUUUUACUGGAAAGGGUGAUGUAUUGCAUGAUGUGGUUUGACAUGUUGCUAAGAGAGGCUUUAGCUAGAGUAUUUCUACCAGCCAUGUUGAGGAAAUUAGUUUUUCAACCGCCCAUCUUAGCAUUAAGGGAGUCCAAUAUGAAUUGAAAGUGACUAUUCUUGGGUUUGCUGGAAGAUAGGAAAGCCCAUAGACUUGGGUUUCUGCUGGAAUAUAGGAAAGCCCAUAUACUUAUCAAAAAAUUUCUUAGCCUUGAUUUGAAGAGCUUGGGCCAAAGAAUUUCUGUCCCUUUCAGAACAAUUUUAAGAGAAAAUGAUUUUUGACUUGGAAGCAAUGAUUUUCUGUCCAGAGUGAUAACUGAAACUGGUCAAGGUGUUCAUGAUGGCAUUGCAGUUUUUGGAAUCAGCAUUGGCAAAAAAUUAAGGUCAUCAGUAAAAAAGAGAUGGGAGACCUUGGGCCCAUUCCUACUGAUAUAGAUAGGUGUCUAGGAGGUCAAACUCAUAAUCAAUUCUUCUAUACGGUAGUUCCAAGCACAUGAUGAAGAUAUAAGGAGAUAUAGGAUCCCCAUGUUUGAUACCUCUAAAGGGUUUGAAAAACUUAAUUCUCUCACCAUUAAUUAGAAUGGAUAUACUGGAAGUAGAGAUGCAGAACAUGAUAAACUUAGCCAUAUUGGUAGGAAAAUUAAAGAAGUGAAGGGUUUGACUAAUGAAGGACCAUUCUAACCUAUCAAAGGCCUUUUCAAUAUUAAUAUUGAGGAUCAUGUUAGCAUUUGUUCCCUUCAUCCUUGAGAAAUAAGUGAUGUACUCCUGAACUAUGAUGGCAUUAUCAACAACCCUUCUAUUAGAAUGAAAGCUAGAUUGGUUGGGGAUGAUGAGGGUAGCUAGAUGAGGCUACAUUCUAUUAGCAAUGAUCUUAGUCACAAUCUUAUAUUGGGUAUUGCAAAGCCCUAUGGAUCUAAAGUUUUUUAGGCUAAUGGCAUUUGUACACUUUGGUAUCAGAUAAAGGUAUGUAGCAUUAACCUUGUCUUUCAUAAUACCUAAGGUAAAAGUAUCUAUACAGAACCGAAUUAUGGAUGGGCCAAUGGUGUCUCAGUAUUUCUAAUAGAGUAGUGGGUGGAUCCUAUGAAGUCCAGGAGACUUGGUGGAUUUAAAGGAAAAAAUAUCCCUUUCGAUUUCCUCAUAGGAUGGGCUAGUCUCUAGGAUUAAGUGGUCAAAGUGGCUGAUAUAGAGCCUUUAGUGGAAGAGUUAUUUUGUCACUUUUGGUAAGGGAUAGUGAAGAGAGUCUUAUAGAAGUUAAUAGUGGUAAUUUGGAUCUCUACUGGAGUGAAGGCCCAAUUACCAGCAUCAUAUUUUAAGGAAUUAACUCUAUUCCUUCUUCUCAUAUUGAGGGUGAAAGUGUGAAUAAUUUAGUGUUACUAUAUCCUUCUACAAUCCAGAUGAUCCUGGACUUAAUUUUGCAAAAUUCCUGCUCUUUCUUAAGGAUGUCACUAAACUCCUGGAUAUGCUAGCAUUCCAAUUCUCAGAGGAAAGAAUUGUGAAGGUAUUGCAAGGAUUUUUGGAUGCCUACCAGUUUAACUAGAAGGUGCUUUUUGUAUGAAAAAUGUUACCAAAGGUCUCUUUGUUCCAAAUGAAAAUGGUGGUUUGAAAAUGUGUAGUAGCUUGAGUGAGGUUUGUGUACGAGCCAAAGGGGAAUUUCUAACCAUUUGGGGUAAAGAGGGAUGGGAGCACCACAUGGUUUCUAUCUGGAAGGUUUAGAGAAAAUCAUAUGGUGUUUGGAGAGACUAAUCAAAACGGCGAGUGGUCAGAAUGGUAACUGGGAAGAUGAGUUACAAUAGCUUCACUACAAAAAAAUAGAUCAAAUUAUGGGGAUUAAUUUUAAGGUUUGCGGGGGUCUUAGACCCCCGCAAAAUGUACCGCAAAAUGUAAUUCGAUUUCCAAAAACCCCACAAGACGAGCCGACACAAACAAGUUGCGGCAGUUCUUUUCAACCCCCAUAUUUAAUUUGCGGGAGUUAUUUUGCGGCGGUUGGCCACUCGUUAUUCUAAAUUUAAUUCUUUUUAUAAUAAAUUUUUAUUUAAAAAUUGCGGGGUUUAAAACCUCUGCAAUUUUAAAAAAAAAUAGUAGGGCCCAUCAAUUUUCAAUAACUAAUUAUAGAUUCUAAUUUUAGCUCAAAUUUAAUUGUUCCUUUAGGCAUACCCUACAAUCCAAUAUUUAUUCAAUUCAUAUAUCAUUAACAUAACAUGACUAAUUAAACAUUGUAAUUCACAAGAAUAUCAAAAAUACAUUGAACGUUAAACUUCAAAAUUAAAUUUUCAACAUUAGCAUCUUCAAACUCCAAAUUUUCAACAUUAACUAGUAUCUUAAAACUCCAAAAUCAAAUUUAAACACAAAACCUUCAAUAUUCUAAGAUUCCCUUCAACCACACAAUUACAUUGUCAUAAUUGAAUAUCCAAGACAAUUUGCAACAAAAUCAACGACUGUCAUUAGGAUCACUAUCAUCACGUGGUCCCCUUGCAUCCAUGGGCGAAAUGGGUUCACUAGCCGCAUUACUUGGCUAUAUAAAAAUGCAAAGUAUAAAAAUCAAUCAGAUAAACUUUCAAUUUUUAUUACAUUUAUAUCUGCAGCUAAAAAACAUCAUGAUAAGUAUAAAUAGAUAAAUCAACAACUACUCCACGCUACAGUUUUAAACUACUCAAUCAGUUGAUCAAACUAAGAACCUGAGUGUCAUUCAACAUAUAGGUAAUAUCAAACUAGGAACCUGAGUACCAAUCAACAUACAGGUAAUACCAUUCAACAUACAGUAACACAAUCAAGCACAAAAGAAAUUGCUUACAAGAUGAGGCAAGAACUAGAGUAAUGUGUUGUGGAAGACCAUCAAACACGGAAGAAAAGACUAUACUAAAUAGAGUGACAGGUAUUGAAUGUCCAAGUGAGAUUCUAGCAGUCUUGGAUACCAAAAAGAUAGACCAAAUUAGAAAAGUUACCUAGAACAUUAACUCAUUCUAGACUCUAUACACCCAUAAAGAUCAUAUAUCAAUCAAUCAGCUAAUUUGGUCCUUUUUGCUUACCUGGGCAAGAGUACGACUUUCACCAAGAGUACGAGAUUAGAAUGCACUGUUGUAAAUCAAUUUACACCUCCCUCGAAGUUUAUCAAGAUCAGCUGCGAUAUCUACGGCUCCUGUACAAGAUUCUAGCUUCUUGGAAGCCUCAUCUGCUUCUUCAAAUCAUCUUCACUUGUAGCACGACCUCUGUUUCGUCUAGAAACAACACUCUGCAAGUAAUGAAAAACAAUGAAGGUUUCAUAAUAUAACAAGUAAACGUACCUUAUUUCAACCUUUCUUUCUAUAACAUAAACUGAAACUUUUCCAUGGUAAUCUAUUAAGGUGUUGUAGUAGCAUUAUGGAGGAAAAUUUAUGGGUAUGCCAUAGUUAAAAGAAGUAAGAAAUUUAGGUUGAUUUUCACUAUUUGGUGAACAAGUCUUUUCACUUCAUCAAAAUUUAAGCAGUAGAAGGAAUUCCAAUCAUUGUUUCAAGCCUUUAAUAAUAUUUUAAUAAGGAAAAACAGAAUAUGCUACAAAAUUAGCUCUGGCAGCUUGGAAAUUUGAUCUGACCCUUUUAUGACUGACAGAUUCUAUUUUCUAUAACCUUUCCGGACUCGCAUGUAAUGAAAACUUUAAUGCACCAUCUACAAAAUCAAGUUGUUAAGGGAUUUAGAAAGUGUAAAAUCAGAACCCCGCAACAAAAAUAAAAAAGCAAGAGAUUAAAAAUAAAUUCUUGGUCCAACUGACUCUACUCACAGGUGUAUCCAGAUCAAUCUCAAUCAGAUUGUUGCACGAGACUAAUAUAAGAUAUUUGAGUCAGUUACUUGAGAUCUUCACAGUCUUCAAUGAUGAAAGAUAUAAGUCAAAGAUUUCAAGGUUGGGUAGAUUUGGCAAAAUGUUCUCUGACCAUUGGUCAGUAACAACCACAUCAAUGAGUUUCAAACGCUUGAGGGUUACACAGAUAUUUAUUUUGAUUAAUACAUUCAGGAGGGCAAGACACCAAAUAUAUUGUACUUAGUUUGGGUAAAGUUUUUGCAACUUGUAAACUGAUUGGUCCAUAAAGUCCCCUAAAAGCAAACUUCUAAAUCACUACAAACUGUGCAAAUAAAUUAAAGUAAUUGCUCAUCCAAAAUAAACUACACAGGGUUGCACUAUAUAUUGCAACAGAGUACUAAUAAACACCAGCAAAACUGCAAAUAUACAGCGAACAAUAGAUCUGGAUUGUGUUCCUGAUGGUUGAUACUAUAAAUCUGAAGUCCCACACCAUGUUAAAAAGCAGAUGACUGAUAGUAUCUUUUCUUCUUCUGCCGAUACAGAAAUCAGAUUCUACUCACAUUACACAGAAUGUACUUAGUUCUUUUAACAAUCUAGGUUAUCUUAUAAGUAAUUUCCCGUCCUUCCUAAAGAAGUUUGAUCCUUCAUUUUCUAAAUUCCUUAAUGCAUUAUGCUAGUGUUUGGAAAGGGAAUUGUUUUUUGGUGGUUCUAGAUUACUUAAGUACCAUUAUAUACUAUCACACCACAAUUUCACUCUAGAUUCCUAUUCCCUUGCUUUCUUCCAAGUGUAAAUCUUAGUUUCUUCGCCUAAGCAUCAAGAAACACCAUCAUCAAUCUGAGAAUUUUCUUGGCAUGUAUGCUUUUGAAGGAAACCUAACCAGUGGCAAAUUUUCCUCCGAUCGUCAAUAUUAUCCAAUGCUAUACAAGCUCCUAUUUCUCUCCUUUUUUUGCUAAGUUACAUCUAUUUCUAUUGUGCAGUCUCAAUAUAUAUAAGAGCCUUGCUGACACUUACUGUAAGACCCCAUAAAGUUUUCUCAUUGUUUGAGCCUUUGAAACGAGUCACUAAAAGCUUAACACUGAGAAAUUUUGCUAAGUGUUCCAACACUUAGUUUAUUUUGGACCCUUAAACUUAGUUGAAUUAUUUUGCAAUCUUCUCGACCUUCGUUUCUUGAUUUUUUUGUUGCAUUGUGAUGGGGCAAGUCUAUAAAACAUCUCGGAUGAUUUCGGAAUUUUUGGACCUCAUUUAGGGUGCGUUUGAUUUUCAAAACAGUAGCACCAUGCGAUUUGCAUGCGUCGCAUGGUGCAUCUCAUCCUUGGUACCAUGCGAUAGAGCAGGCGAUGCAUGCUCCAGUCCGGUGGGAUAGAUCAUGCGACGCAUGCUCUGCUGCGUGCCUGGGAAUUUUCAGCAAUUUUAAUCCGUCUCAUUAAGGGUAUUCUUGGUAUUUUCUAUUCUCCCAUCAACUUAAACACGGGAUUUAAUCCCUAGAACACCAAAAUAAGCUCAUUAUCUCUCAAAGUCACCAAGAAUACUCAUUAGGGUUCCAACACAAAAAAACAAUUAUCUAAAGAUUCAACCGUGAGAAUUCAACAAUUCUUCCAUAUUUGAGUUCCCCGUUACAAGGGCUACAAGAGGCACCCAAUAGUUCAUGGAUAUCAUUCCGAAAUUUUAGAAGUCAUCCAAAUGCUCCAAGUUUAAUGUAUACGGUUAUGAACAAGAACACCCUUUCGUUCUUGUACCAAAAGGUUUUAAAUUUUCUUACAGAUUUCGUGUUUUCAAGUUGAGCUAUGCUUAAAUUGCUAUAUUUCAAGUUUACGGAAUUAUGAUUUUGAUUAAGUUUUGGAGUUCAUGAGUAUCUUGUUUAGCUAUGGUUCAAGUUGUAAAUUCAUGUUAUAAAUUGUAUAUUUUUACAUGGGUAACAUGUUUUCAAGAAUCCCCAAGAUUGUUGUCAAAGAGUGCAUUGUGUUUUGAAAUGAUAAACCUUUUGAAGAUAAACUAGUGAUACUCUUUAUAGUGUUUCGAGAAGUGUAAUUGAAUUUCCAUGAUAUUGAGUCUUAAUGUUACUCAUGUCAAACCUAUCGAGAUUUCAAGAAACAACAACAACAACAACAACAAACCCAGUGUAUUCCCACCUGGUGGGGUCUGGGGGGUAGGAUGUACGCAGUCCAUACCUCUACCUCUGAAGAAGUAGAAAGGCUGUUUCCGAUAGACCCCCGGCUCAAGACACGCGGCACCACACAAACACAUAGUAAAGCACAGCACAAGGUUACAAGAUUACAAGAAAAGAAAGUGAAUUUUUUAUUUAUCCUAAGUUAAGAAAGAAAUCCACAUAUUUGAGUUUAAAGAAAAGAGAAUGCAUUUUGGCUCCCAUCUCACAUUGUCUAAUGAUUUUAAGGUGGAUUUCCUUAAGUUCUGAGCUAAGUAAGGGAGUAGUGUUUAGCACCGAGUUGGGCUUGAUUCUGAGGUCUCAUGCUCCAGAACUACGUGCCCCCGUAGGUUCUUGACAUACCCCAAGUGGGUUAAGAUAGUGAUCACUAAAAGUUAAGGUUCUAUCCGAUGGCAAGGAUAGGACAGUUCUCCCCAACGUGGGUAAGACGUUGGACUCCAUGUAGCUCACAUGGUUUAUGUCGGUUAGAAGAAAUUCUCAAGUUGUCCCUAAGUGUCAAAGUAUUCCAAGAUUUCAAAGAAUUCCAAGUUUUAAAGUUGUAAAGUUUUGAAGUCCCUAUGUGUCCUAUUCUCUCUAAGAUCAAAGGUUUGAAUUUUGGAAAGUAUAAGAUUUUGAAAGCAUGAUGAUUUGUGAGUUUAUGUCACAUACCUAUUUCUCUUUUACAUACAAGGAUUUUGUUCAAGCUAUGUGAGUUAUGUAUUACAGCAUGCAUGUUUUUUAUAGAAGCUUAAGAUAUCGAUUAUUUUAAAUAGCACAUGCCCCCAUAUGCUCAGUACAUCCCCAAAGUACUAACCCAUAUAUUUGUCUGCAUGUUGUAUCUUCUUGUAAUGUAGGUUCAGAUGCUCAGUCUCAGCCUCAUCAGUGAUCUUUUUCAAGCACUCUUAUCUACAUAUCAGCAGUGGUGAGUCCUCAUGUUUCGGGGACCGUUUGUUCUCAGACACUCGAUUUAUUUAUUAGUUGUUUAUUUCUUU